GAUUUGCUAGCUCAGUCGGUAGAGCACAUCCCUUUUAAGGAUGGGGUCCUGGGUUCGAAUCCCAGGCAAAUCA
rnacentral:tRNA from 1 species